GAACUGAGGGGGGCUGCUCCUAGUACGAGAGGACCGGAGUGGACGCAUCACUGGUGUUCGGGUUGUCAUGCCAAUGGCACUGCCCGGUAGCUAAAUGCGGAAGAGAUAAGUGCUGAAAGCAUCUAAGUACGAAACUUGCCCCGAGAUGAGUUCUCCCUGAGACUUUAGGUCUCCUGAAGGAACGUUGAAGACGACGACGUUGAUAGGCCGGGUGUGUAAGCGCAGCGAUGCGUUGAGCUAACCGGUACUAAUGAA
rnacentral:rRNA from 1 species